rnacentral:rRNA from 1 species
UACGUAGGGGGCUAGCGUUGUCCGGAUUUAUUGGGCGUAAAGAGCGUGUAGGCGGCCAGGUAGGUCUGGUGUGAAAACUCGAGGCUCAACCUCGAGAUGUCAUCGGAAACCAUCUGGCUAGAGUCCGGAAGAGGAGAGUGGAAUUCCUGGUGUAGCGGUGAAAUGCGCAGAUAUCAGGAAGAACACCUAUGGCGAAGGCAGCUCUCUGGGACGGUACUGACGCUGAGACGCGAAAGCGUGGGGAGCGAACAGG